rnacentral:pre_miRNA from 1 species
AUCUACCAUGCCGUAGCAUGUGUAAACAUCCUACACUCUCAGCUGUGAACUCAAGGUGGCUGGGAGAGGGUUGUUUACGCCUUCUGCCAUGGUCUG